GUAAGCCGAAGAGCGUGCACUAACAUUUUCAGUGGCGCUUUAACUCAAAACAGGAAACUCGUGAAUAUUCAUGUGAGCUCCGCCCAGUGUCACUGAAAAUCUCAGACACCGAAUAUUUCAUAACACCGGAAAACGUAGCAAAACGUUGCGCACCGGUGUGAGCUUGAACGUGCCCCUGGUCAGAUUGUGAAGCAGGAACAGGUGGAGUCAGAUACACUUUCACUUUAGUUUUGGUCAAACACGUCUUGAGCUUCACAGACACUGAGAGAAUCAUCAUAUAAUCACCACAUAUAAAAGCUGCAGAUCAACCAUGCCGAAGAUAUCGACAUCGAUCCAUAAAUCACACAUGAGUGAUGAGAUGCAGCGUGAGGUUCUUCAGGUCGCUCUUCUGGCUGUGAAUAUGUACGAAAAGAACCAGGACAUUGCUAACUACAUCAAGAAUGAGUUUGAGAGAAGGCAUGAGAAAAACUGGCACUGCAUUAUAGGCGACUGUGCUUACAACGUGACACCAAAACAGAACAGUUAUAUCGACUUCUCUGUUGAUGGCAAAAGAAUUUUGCUCUUCAAAUCUGCCUGAGAUUCAGCAGCAGUUCAAACACAAUUUAUUUGAUCCACAUAAUUAAUAAAACAUCCUCCUUCA